rnacentral:rRNA from 1 species
GCAAGUCGAGCGAGAGUUUUUCUAGCUUGCUAGAAAAACAAAAGCGGCGAACGGGUGAGUAACACGUUGGUAUCUGCCCCUAGGUCAGGGAUAGCCCACUGAAAAGUGGAUUAAUACCGGAUAGUCUCUUCGGAGUAAAAAUUUAUUGCCUAGGGAGGAACCUGCGUUCUAUCAGCUUGUUGGUAAGGUAAAAGCUUACCAAGGCUAUGACGGAUAAUUGGUCUGAGAGGAUGAUC